rnacentral:lncRNA from 1 species
GUGUGUGUUGUUUGAGGUAUAUCUAAGGGGUUGGAGAAGGCUUUAGAUAUAUAUGAGUAAAAAAAACGUGGAAUAUAUUUAGGUGACGGGAGCAGGGCUUGAAUAUGUUGAGGUGAUGGGAGCAGGGCCUCUAAUGAAAAGUGAAAGUUGAGAAAUUCGUAAACAAAAGAGAAAUGGGUUAAGGGACGGAUGAGCACUAGUUCAUAUUUUAGGGUAUUCGGAGCCACAGUGGUAAAACGCAUGGUAUAGGACAUGCAGGCUUGUUGCCCUAAGGUAUAAAUUAGUGGGAUUAGAAGGGAGUGAGUUCAUGGCAUUACCG